CAGCAGCCGCGGUAACACGAAGGGGGCUAGCGUUGUUCGGAAUUACUGGGCGUAAAGCGCACGUAGGCGGAUAUUUAAGUCAGGGGUGAAAUCCCAGAGCUCAACUCUGGAACUGCCUUUGAUACUGGGUAUCUUGAGUAUGGAAGAGGUGAGUGGAAUUCCGAGUGUAGAGGUGAAAUUCGCAGAUAUUCGGAGGAACACCAGUGGCGAAGGCGGCUCACUGGUCCAUUACUGACGCUGAGGUGCGAAAGCGUGGGGAGCAAACAGGAUUAGAUACCCCUGUAGUCCCUGUCUCUUAUAC
rnacentral:rRNA from 1 species